rnacentral:misc_RNA from 1 species
GUGCAGUGUUUAGCGUUUUCAUGUCCGCCUUUUUCUCCAUCAUCUGUUACAGAGUGAAUGGCCGUGGGAGUUACUUUCAAACAUAUUUUUCACCAAGUAUCAUUUGAAGUCAAGGUUUCAUUCGCUGGAGCGACAUAAGUGUUACCAAAUAGUAUUAUACUACUUCGGUCAUUCUUGAAAAAGAAACCAACCCAGUAUUAUUCACCCUUGACCGCAAAGUAGCGCGUGGUCAACCGACUCUCGACCCUGACCCAUGCCAAGAAGAUUCUGUUCUCAUCUCACCUUGGACUCUUCUGACCGGUGACUUCCAUCCGAUCGAAUGAAAUGUCCGUGACCUGGUUCCACAAUGACCCACAGGAAGAAGAGGUAUUAAAAGCGAAAGUUGAUGUCUGAUGCAAUUACCUUUAAGGCUCGUGAUCUAGAAACGGCGACCGUUCCGGUGCAACUGCAGGUAAAAAGCGAAAAGUUCCUGAAUGAAUUUUUGCAUUCAGCAAUUGCGACUCUUGAAACUUCGAACAAGAACUUUGAUAAAACUACGAAGCACUGAAUUUUGGUUUUGAAGUCUAGUACAGAAGCAUGAUUAUGUCAGAUCAGUUUUUCUGUCGACGUCAGUGAAAACAAAUUCAAACCUCCCUCACACAUACCAUGUCCCUCCCACGUACCAAAAAUAGCUUCUCGGACAGACGAGUUACUUUACCGACAUCCCACUAGAAAGAACAGGCGGAGAAGAAACAGGAAAGAGGCUCAAAACUCACUGUAGGUUUAAGGAGACUAACUGAGUGCGAUUGAGCAGUUUUUGGAGGUUGAUUUUCUCCUAUUUUCUUUAUAUCGCCGAUUAUACUUAAUUCAGUAUCGAAAAAGAGGAUAUUAAAUAAUCAUUGUUAUUUCAUUUUUCUUUUCAAAUGGAUGUAAAAUCAGAAUAAAAAAACGAAGAUAAAAUUUA